AUGACCUGGGAGCACUAUUUGGCUGCCCCGGCCCCGCCGGAGCAUAGGGUCGGCGAUGUCGAGUGCGACACGGUGGCCGAUAUUGUGAUCGCCACGUUUUGGACCUUCUACAGGUGUGCCGAGGGACAGGAGGAGGCCGCGGCUCGGGUUAUCGAGGCCGAGUGCAGGCGCCUACUUGGAAACUUUCGGCACGAGGCUCGGACGCAGGCUGUUCGAGACUACUUAGCACAGACUGGUAUUAGGAGGAGAAAAGAGAAGUGCCGGGACAAGUAUCUGAGUAAGGAGAAGUACAUUAAGGUAAUUACCUAUUCUUAA
rnacentral:rRNA from 1 species